rnacentral:tRNA from 1 species
CCGAAAAUAGCUCAGUUGGUAGAGCGGGAGACUGUAGUAAAGCUGUCAUCUCUAGGUCCCUGGUUCAAAUCCGGGUUUUCGGA